GACUACAGAAAUAAUCAGACUCCUUCAAGAUCAUGAUAUUCCAAACAUGAAACCAAGUGACAUGCCAUAUCUCAACAAAUGGCGUGCUUAUUUCAGGAAUCCCUGAUCAAGAAAAACUUCUUUGUUCUUCAAGUGAUGAUUCUGUAACGCUAAUGUGAUUUUCAUGGGCAUGCAUCUUUACUACUCGAAGUCUCAAAGUCAUCCAGGAUGGUCAACUAUGUUCCUUCAAGAAGUUGAUUUGCACAAUUAGCACCCACAGAGUAUGGUGACCAAGUCCUUAGUUCUCAUAUUAGUUUGUACUCUUCCUAGUUUACUAGAUUGUAAAUUGUUGAUGGUUACAAGUGGUCGAUUAGUA